GACGAACGCUGGCGGCGUGCUUAACACAUGCAAGUCGAACGGAACUUCUUUGCUUUUGUGUGGUUCUCGAGUGGCGAACGGGUUAGUAACACGUGCGUAACCUUCCCUUGACUUUGGCAUACCUUCAAGAAACUGGUACUACUUCCGGAUAGGUGCUCCUGCUGCAUGAUGAUAGUUGCCACGUUUGGGCGGUUGAGGAUGGACUCGAGGAUUAUCAUUUUGUUGGUGGGGUAGUGGCUUACCAAGUCUUUGACGGGUAGCCGGCCUGAGAGGGUGACCGGGGACAUAGGGACUGAGAUACGGCGCAGAAGCGUACGGGAGGCAGCAGGGGGGAGUAUGGUAGAAUGGGCGGAAGUCGGAUGAAGAAACGCCGGGAGCGGGAUGACGGCUUGCGGGAGGUAAAAGGGUGUCGGCGGAGACGAAGAGGGAGUGACGGUAAUGGGUAAAGAAGCACCGGCUAACUACGUG
rnacentral:rRNA from 1 species